UACGUAGGGUGCAAGCGUUAAUCGGAAUUACUGGGCGUAAAGGGCGCGUAGGCGGACAGUUUAGUCAGAGGUGAAAGCCCAGGGCUCAACCUUGGAAUUGCCUUUGAUACUGGCUGUCUUGAGUUCGGGAGAGGUGAGUGGAAUGCCGAGUGUAGAGGUGAAAUUCGUAGAUAUUGGGAGGAACACCAGUGGCGAAGGCGGCUCACUGGACCGGAACUGACGCUGAGGCGCGAAAGCGUGGGGAGCAAACAGG
rnacentral:rRNA from 1 species